GAUGUCCCAGUGGAGAAUGGGCUACAGCACCAGCCUUCUGGUCUGUGUCACCUACUCUGUGUAAAAGUGCACAUCUUACAGCCAGCUGCAGGCAUAGUGGAAUCCCAGUUAUGCUGUCGUAUCUGCUCAUCCUGUCUGCGCUAACAGCACUAAGGACUGAAGACUGAUGGUCACGGAUUCCUUGGUGAACCUGGAAGGAAUUCAUAGCCGGUGUAACUUUUCACCACUCAGAAAUCUCAAUUCCAGGUUUCAGAGGCUCUUGGUUUCUUCCUCCUAAUAUAUCAUACUUACGUCUAAUU